AUUGAACGCUGGCGGCAUGCCUUACACAUGCAAGUCGAACGGCAGCACGGGGGCAACCCUGGUGGCGAGUGGCGAACGGGUGAGUAACAUAUCGGAACAUACCCUAGAGUGGGGGAUAACGUAGCGAAAGUUACGCUAAUACCGCAUACGAUCUAAGGAUGAAAGUGGGGGAUCUUCGGACCUCAUGCUCAUGGAGUGGCCGAUAUCUGAUUAGCUAGUUGGUGAGGUAAAGGCUCACCAAGGCGACGAUCACUAGCUGGUCUGAGAGAACGACCAGCCACACUGGAACUGAGACACGGUCCAGACUCCUACGGGAGGCAGCAGUGGGGAAUUUUGGACAAUGGGGGCGAACCCUGAUCCAGCAAUGCCGCGUGAGUGAAGAAGGCC
rnacentral:rRNA from 1 species